CCUACGGGUGGCAGCAGUGGGGGAUAUUGCACAAUGGGGGAAACCCUGAUGCAGCGACGCCGCGUGAGUGAAGAAGUAUUUCGGUAUGUAAAGCUCUAUCAGCAGGGAAGAAAAUGACAGUACCUGACCAAGAAGCCCCGGCUAACUACGUGCCAGCAGCCGCGGUAAUACGUAGGGGGCAAGCGUUAUCCGGAUUUACUGGGUGUAAAGGGAGCGCAGGCGGUCUGUUAAGUCAGCGGUCAAAGCCCGGGGCUCAACCCCGGCCCGCCGUUGAAACUGGCAGUCUCGAGUUGGAGAGAAGUAUGCGGAAUGCGCGGUGUAGCGGUGAAAUGCAUAGAUAUCGCGCAGAACUCCGAUUGCGAAGGCAGCAUGCCGGCUCCACACUGACGCUGAGGCACGAAAGCGUGGGUAUCGAACAGGAUUAGAUACCCUAGUAGUC
rnacentral:rRNA from 1 species